rnacentral:rRNA from 1 species
AUUGAACGCUGGCGGCAGGCUUAACACAUGCAAGUCGAGCGAGCGGCGGACGGGUGAGUAAUGUCUGGGAAACUGCCUGAUGGAGGGGGAUAACUACUGGAAACGGUAGCUAAUACCACAUACCAUCAGAUGGGCCAAGAUGGGAUUAGCUAGUAGGUUGGGUAAUGGCUCACCUAGGCGACGAUCCCUAGCUGGUCUGAGAGGAUGACCAGCCACACUGGAACGGAGACACGGUCCAGACUCCGACGGGAGGCAGCAGUGGGGAAUAUGCCACAAUGGGCGCAAGCCUGAUGCAGCCACGCCGCGUGUGUGAAGAAGGCCUUCGGGUUGUAAAGCACUUUCAGCGAGGAGGCGUUACUCGCAGAAGAAGCACCGGCUAACUCCGUGCCAGCAGCCGCGGUAAUAC